GUUUCACAAAAAGCUUGAAAUCAAACGAUGUGGGACAUUGCUUCUGUAAGCAGCUUCUGAAUUUGCUUUGCCUUGGCCUAUAGUGACGUCACAAGCUCACAUCAUAAGGAAAACGUGUUGCGCAUCUCUAGUUUGAUAUGAGCUUUAGUAUCUCCCCACUACAGUGCGAGAAAAGUCAGGGCAAAGGAUUGAAAAGAAGUUCACAACAAAAAAGUUUGAACACAAGCAAACCUGAAACAGAUGCAGGGUAGUAGAUCUUAAGGGUGCGUUGCUCACUCCAGGGCCUGCUGCCACCCAGAUGGCUGGCAAACACCAGGACUCCGAACACAACAGGAUUCAGGGAUUCAGACAGGAGUCUUGCUCUACCAAUUAUUAUAGGAUCUUAGAUGCCUUUCCAGUAAAGCUAACAAAAAACAAAACAAAAUAAAACCAUAUCCAAAAUACUAAACAGCUGUCUCCAAGAUCAGAAGGCAUCAGAAAAGACCCUCAAGAGUUGUCUAAUCCCAGAGGAAGAUCUUAAGUGGGGAUGUGCUCACAGCAGAAACCUUGGAAAUUUCAGGGAGUGAAAUUUUAUUGUCAGAACUUUCAAUAAAAGUGUAGCCACAGAUCCUGGGAGCAUUAAAUAAAAAUUACCAACAAGCUGUCUUACCUGUGUGCACUCCACUGAAAGGAAGGGCAAACAUGAGCAAGGAGCUCUUGUACAUCAGUCAAAAUUCUGACAGCUACCCUGUGAAGUUUGACGGGCUGCCAUGUGCUAGACUACCUAAGAUACUCUUAACUGAACCAUAAAAAGACAAAUAAAUUAGUAAUUGUA
rnacentral:lncRNA from 1 species